UGGGGAAUAUUGGACAAUGGAGGGAACUCUGAUCCAGCAAUUCUGUGUGUGUGAAGAAGGUUUUAGGACUGUAAAACACUUUUAGUAGGGAAGAAAAAAAUGACGGUACCUACAGAAGAAGCAACGGCUAAAUACGUGCCAGCAGCCGCGGUAAUACGUAUGUUGCGAGCGUUAUCCGGAAUUAUUGGGCUUAAAGGGCAUCUAGGCGGUAAGACAAGUUGAAGGUGAAAACCUGUGGCUCAACCAUAGGCUUGCCUACAAAACUGUUGAACUAGAGUACUGGAAAGGUGGGUGGAACUACACGAGUAGAGGUGAAAUUCGUAGAUAUGUGUAGGAAUGCCGAUGAGGAAGAUAACUCACUGGACAGAAACUGACGCUGAAGUGCGAAAGCUAGGGGAGCAAACAGG
rnacentral:rRNA from 1 species